GCGGAGACAAAUAUAAUCAUUUACAACAAUGUUGAGCGAAAAUAAAAUCUUUGAGGUGCCAUACAAAUGAAGCAUACAUUUCUGCAUAAUUCAAAAAUUGAUCAAGCAAACGGAACCAGAUUUGGUAUGUGGAGGUUUUAGAGGGCAAGAAACAUUUCUAAGGUGGUUCAACUCUCCUUCCACCUCUCUAAGAGGUGGCUGCCAUAGAAAUGAAACACGAAUUUGUACAUAACUCGAGAACUAAUGAAGCAAAAGAAACCAAAUUUGGCAUAUGAAGGUUUUAUUGAGCAAUAAAUGUUUUUAUGGUGGUUUGACACUCCUUUACCCUCCCUAAAGAGGGAGUGGGAGGUUGCUGAACAACUCGAGAACUAAUCAAACAAUUGGAAUCAAUCUUAGCAUGUAGAAGUUUUAGGGAUCGAUAAACGUUUCUAUGAUAGUUCGACACUUCUCGCCCUCUUUAAAGCAGGGCCCGAUACAAAUGAAACCCAAAUUUCUGCAUAGCUCGAAAACCAAUCAAGCAAAUGGAGCCAAAUUGGGGAUGUGAGAACUUUUUGGGUAUGAGAAAUGAUUCUAUGAUGGUAUGACCUCUGGAAUGGAGAGGGGGUCCCAUAAAAAUAUUACACAUAUUUAAAUCAAACAUAUUCCAAGAAAACAUGACAAUUGAAAAUUUUCGGGAAACGCGUUGGUAGUUCAUUUGAUGAUUGCGCUACCGAAAUUGAUCUUCGUUCGAAAGUGGAAAUAGAUUUUAAUGUGAUAAAACGCACUCCUAUAUCUUCUUAUAUCUAUAUAAAUAAAAAUGGAUCGCCGAAUGUGUCGGUAAAAGCAAAACUCGAGAAAGGAAUUGUCCGAUCUAAGGCUAUCUUUAUUCUAUCAUAUUUUCUGUAUCAAACAUUUAUUCCAUGCAACGGAAAGGUGGAAACCGAUAAAAUCGUAGAAAUCAUCCAAGUAGACCGGCAUGUGAGAGCUCGCUCGAUUGGCCAGUGUGUGGCAUGUAAAAUACAAUGUCAAUAUAGCUUAACUUGGGGCUUAACCUAUAACGGGUUAGUACCAUUAUCCACCACCGCAAGCGCAACAGUACACAACCGUUAAUCGGGUAACGCUUCAACGCAUACACACACACAUGCACACGAGCCGCAUAUCCGCUCCUCCAUAUAUCAUCCUGCACUCUUUCACCGACACCGACGAGGUAAGUCGCACAUUUGGCGAUCCUGCCAUUUCUUUCAAGUGAACCAAUAAUCUUCCAUCGUUUUCAAUCUUGAAAUAAGAGUUCGAGUUAAAAGCAAGUGAAUUGUGACAACGCAGUGCUAAAGCAUUCCGGAAAGAGCUGGAAAUAUGCAUCAGUCGUUUACAAACGACGCCAUUCGAGAAUUGCAAAAAUUGCAAAUCUUUUGCAGCCAACGCUAUAUGACGCCAUUAAGUAACGCAAAAUAUCAAAGCUGCAUUCGUUUCAAAACGACGCUAUAGCAAAAACGCAAAACUGCAAUCGUUUCAAAACGACGCCAUUGUAAAAAAAUGCAAAAUUGCAAAACUUCAGCAAUCGUUUUAAAAUGACACCAUUGAAAAAAUUUAAAAAAAAAUGCAAAUCUGCUGCAGUCAGUGUAAAACGACGCAUUAAAAAAAAAGUAGAAUCGCAAAGCUGCUAAAAUCGUUUCAAAACUAUGCCAUUGGAAAAAUGCCAAAAAAACGACUCAAUUGAAAAAAUACAUAAUUUCAAAUCUGCGGCAAUAGUUCCAAAACGACUCCCAUUAGAAAAUACAUCCGCUGCAGUCAAUCUAAAAUGACGCCGUUGUAAAAAAAUGCAAACUUACAAAGCUGCUGCAAUCGUUUCAAAACGACGUUUUUGAAAAAUGGAAAAUUGCAAAGCUGCUGUAAUCGUUUCAAAACGAUGGAAUCGAAAAAAAUACAUGAUUGUGAAUCUGUGGCAAUCAUUCCAAAACGGUCCCCAUAAAAAAAUGUAUUCGUUGCUGUCAAUCCAAAACGAUGACACAAAAAUAUUCAAAGCAAAAAAAAAUUGAUAAAAUGUUUGGCUGAAAAAGUUAACGAUAUCUUUAACAACCAUAAACGAAUAAGAUCCAUCGACCAAUGCAUAAAGCUCUUGCAUCGAAUGACUGGUUCACCGGUGUCUUAUAGCUAAAAUUAUGUAUGUGGCAAAUUACAGGUUGAAACUCGUAAUCUCUACAACAUACUUCCGAAAAUCUUGAACUAUGGCACACGACAGAAAGCACAUUCGAUCGAAAGAAUGAACCCAGGUGAACUUCGUCCUGAUGAUAAAAAACCGAUGCAAGAAACAAAUCCCAGCGACAUCGACGAAAGUGAGAGUCAUGAUAACAGCAGCAAAUGUUCAUCGAACUACAGCGGUGGGAGCGGCCACGAAGAAGCUGCAAACGAGAUCAAUGCAAGCGACCAUAACGGUGUUUCCAGUGAUACUCCCAGUGAUGCUUAGAGCCCACAUUGAAGACCUACAAACUCAAGCAAGUCAGGAGUCGAGCUUCUAAGCACAAACAACCCGAAAGGAAAGCAACAUGAGCGAAAAGUGAAGCAACCCGAGUAGAUUCUCGCCGAUUUCUCGACGGUAGUCGCACUCCUACGUCGCACUCCAGUCGCGAACCCGAACACCCGGCAUGAUAAUGUGAGACGCUAGUCACUCGGCCACGGGUGCAAUCCAAGUGUACCUCGCUUAGAUAGCUACCAGUGCCUUGCUUAUAAUAACCUAAAUGUCAUACCGCAAUAUUUGUCAAAGCUUCAGAAUAAUGCUUUCAAAACCCUGUGAAGUAGUAAAAUAGGAAUGUUGAUAAAAGUCAACUUCAUCUUUUCUUAUACUACACAUACUCUUUUGCAGUCAUUGAAUGGUUUGUUGUGGUUAUAGUUGUACUGUUGGAAUUUGUUUUUUUUUUUUGAGAGAGGGGGAGAUGUGUGGCAUGUAAAAUACAAUGUAUACUGUAUACUGUAUACAAUGUAUACUUAACUUGGGGCUUAACCUAUAACGGGUUAGUACCAUUAUCCACCACCGCAAGCGCAACAGUACUCAACCGUUAAUCGGGUAACGCUUCAACGCAUACACACACACAUGCACACGAGCCGCAUAUCCCCGCUCCUCCAUAUAUCAUCCUGCACUCUUUCACCGACACCGACGAGAAGAUUGGAUUCCAAAAAAAGCUGGAUGUAUGGGUGCCACACGACUUGACGCAAAAAAAUCUUUUAGACCAAAUCAACGCCUGCGAUACACUGCUGAAACGGAACGAACUCGAUCCAUUUUUGAGGAAGAUGGUGACUGGUGAUGAAAUGUGGAAUGAAGAUAAUGGGAUAAUGAAGUUGCCUUCUAAAUGGCCACAAAUUCGCGAACAAAACGGCGCAUAUUUGACUUAAAUUGGAUAAUUUUAAGUAUGUUAAAUAAAGCGUCAAAUUUCGAACAGAAAUACGACAUUUCUUUUUCCCCAACCCUA